GCUGGGUGCGGUGGCGCAUUCCUGUAGUCCCAGCUAUUCGGGAGGCUGAGGUGGGAGGAUCGCUUGAGCCCAGGAGUUCUGGGCUGUAAUGCGCUAUGCUGAGUGGGUAUCCACACUAAGUUCGGCAUCAAUAUGGUGACCUCCCGUGAGUGGGGGACCACCAGGUUGCCUAAGGAGGGGUGAACCGGCCCAGGUCGAAAACAGAGCAGGUCAAAACUCCCUUGCUGAUCUGCAGUGGGAUCACACCUGUGAAUAGCCACUGCACUCCAGCCUGGGCAGCAUAGCAAGACUCUCUCUUU
rnacentral:SRP_RNA from 1 species